CCUACGGGAGGCAGCAGUGAGGAAUAUUGGUCAAUGGGCGGGAGCCUGAACCAGCCAAGCCGCGUGAGGGAAGAAGGUACAGCGUAUCGUAAACCUCUUUUGUCAGGGAACAAAGGCGGGGACUAGUCCCCGGAUGAGGGUACCUGAAGAAAACGCAUCGGCUAACUCCGUGCCAGCAGCCGCGGUAAUACGGGGGCUGCGAGCGUUAUCCGGAUUCAUUGGGUGUAAAGGGUGCGCAGGCGGCCUGUUAAGUCAGCGGGAAAAGCCCGGGGCUCAACCCCGGCGAGCCGUUGAAACUGGGGGGCUGGAGUUGGAGAGAAGGACGCGGAAUGCGCGGUGUAGCAGUGAAAUGCUUAGAUAUCGCGCAGAACCCCGAUGGCGAAGGCAGCGUACCGGCUCCACACUGACGCUGAGGCACGAAAGCGUGGGUAUCGAACAGGAUUAGAUACCCGGGUAGUC
rnacentral:rRNA from 1 species